AGGGAUUUAGCUCAGCGGCAUAAGUACCUGCCUUGCAAGCAGGAGGUCGUGAGUUCAAUCCCCA
rnacentral:tRNA from 1 species